AGAGUGUAAACGCUGCCGACUUGGUGUUGGAGGCCCUUCGGGGGCAUUCAGUGCCGGAGAGAAGUUGUUAAGUCGGCCACUUGGGGAGUACGUCCGCAAGGAUGAAACUUAAAGGAAUUGGCGGGGGAGCACCGCAACGGGAGGAGCGUGCGGUUUAAUUGGAUUCAACACCGGAAAACUCACCAAGGGCGACUGUUACAUGAAAGCCAGGCUAAUGACCUUGCUUGAUUUUCAGAGAGGUGGUGCAUGGCGUCAGUGACU
rnacentral:rRNA from 1 species